GAUGAAGAACGUAGCGAAAUGCGAUAAGUAAUGUGAAUUGCAGAAUUCAGUGAAUCAUCGAAUCUUUGAACGCACAUUGCGCCCAUUAGUAUUCUAGUGGGCAUGCCUGUUCGAGCGUCAUUUCAACCCUUAAGCCUAGCUUAGUGUUGGGAAUCUGCUGUAUUGCAGUUCCUCAAAUACAACGGCGGAUCUGUAACAUCCUCUGAGCGUAGUAAAUUCUUAUCUCGCUUUUGUUAGGUGUUGCAGCUCUCAGCCGCUAAACCCCCCAAUUUUUGUGGUUGACCUCGGAUCAGGUAGGAAUACCCGCUGAACUUAAGCAUAUCAAUAAGCGGAGGA
rnacentral:misc_RNA from 1 species